AUGGGCGCCCGGCUCCUGGGCUGUGUCCUGCUUUGUCUCCUGGGAGCAGGCCCCCUGGAAGCCAACGUGAUCCAGAGCCCGAGAUACCAGAUCACAGAGACCAGGAAGAGGGUGAUAUUGACUUGUUCUCAGCAUUCGAACCAUGAGGCCAUGUACUGGUAUCGACAAGACCCAGGGCUGGGUCCAAAGCUGAUCUACUUUUCAAGGAAUGUUGGACUCACUGAAGAUGGAGAUAUCCCUGAUGGGUACACUGUCUCUCGAACAAAGAAGCCGGAUUUCCCCCUGACCCUGGAGUCGGCCAGCACCAACCAGACCUCCCUGUACCUCUGUGCCAGCAGUUUAUCCACAGCGCGGCAGAGCCAGCUGCUCUCUGCACAAAAAGGGCAGCCGCCAGAGCAGGGAGGCUCCUCCCUUGGGAGGCCCCACCCAACCAAGAGGAAAACUUCCCGCACCAUCAGUGCCCACAGGAGUCCUUCCCUGACUCCCCAGAUGUGGGCACUCUGAGCAAGGCAGCCCCUCUGCAAUGUGCCCUCCUAUUACUUCUGAUGCCCAGGCCAGAGAUGUAG